GUGUUUUGAAAGGCGUCUUUAAAUAAAAUGUGUUCUUAUACUCUCCUGUUUUUCAGAAUAUGUCACUGAGCUCACCAACCUCCUCUUUAAUGAGGUCAUUCGUGACCCUGAACCUUUCGUAGCUGCCCUGAAGGAAGUAGCUGUUCCAGGGUUCCUCUGCUCCCAGUAUGAGCGACCUGACAAGGCAGAUGCAGUUGCCAGCCAAAUGUCCAGGUUCAGCUGUCCAGAUCCAGCUCCACAGCCCUGAUGACACAAACACCUGCUGAGAGUGAGAGGAGGGGAGAGGACACCAACUAAAGAACCCAGAACUAUGAGGAACGGAGGAAGUCAAGGUACUCCUGGUGGAUACAGACAACAACGCAGGAAGGUAUCACUACCCGGUUG